UAAUUUAAAGUCUAGCCUGCCCAAUGAUAAUUUUAAUGGCCGCAGUAUUUUGACUGUGCAAAGGUAGCAUAAUCAUUAGUUUCUUAAUUAGAAACUGGAAUGAAAGGUUGAACGAAAAAAUAACUGUCUCUUUAUAAUUUUUUUAGAAUUUUAUUUUUAAGUUAAAAAGCUUAAAUAGAUUUGAAAGACGAGAAGACCCUAUAGAGUUUAAUAUUUUCUAAAUUGAAUUUUUAAAUAGAAUAAUUUUUAUUUAAUUGAAGAAAAUAUUUAAUUGGGGUGAUUGAAAAAUUUAAUUAACUUUUUUUAUAUUAAAACAUAAACAUAUGAUUAAUUGAUCCAUUUUUAAUGAUUAAAAGAUUAAAUUACCUUAGGGAUAACAGCGUAAUUUUUUUUAAGAGUUCUUAUCGAUAAAAAAGUUUGCGACCUCGAUGUUGGAUUAAAAUUAAAAUUUGGUGUAGAAGCUAAAUCAUUAGGUCUGUUCGACCUUUAAAAUUUU
rnacentral:rRNA from 1 species